AUCACCAUCUGCAUGCAUUUCUUUCCUAUAUAUGGAGUGAUCGCUGAAUGAUGCAGCCGGACCGGCCGGACGAGAUGGCACGGAUCAAGGCGGCCGGCGGCAAGGUCAUCUUCAUCAACGGCGCACGCGUCCGAGGCAUCCUCGCCAUGUCCAGAGCACUAGGUACCUACCUACGUAUCCUCCUUCACUCCUUCCCUUCCUUGUCCUAUAGUAGGAGUACUUACUUGACCUAGCAUGCACUAGCAGCUUCCUCGAAAAGCAAAGGAAAAAAGCUGGUAAUCUUAUCAUGUGAUUGGUUCCAUAAAGCGCAUGUGUCGUUUCGUCGCUUCACACACGUGGUCUGGUCGUGUUCCCCUGCAUUAACGUUUGGUGAUUAUAUAAAAAAGGGAGAAUGUUCGUCACGAUGUGCUAUUUGCCUUCUUGUGGACAAAAAUGCGUAACCAAACGUUGCUUUGCAUCUUACUACUACCAAUUAACAACCGCCGGGUGUCCACUUACUAAGAGUGGUCAUGUUAAUCUUUCCGAUGAAAACAAAAUAUAUGGCACCUAUUUAAGUUUCUUGAGGCAGCUCCGCAAUGUUUCAUCUUUGGGUGUGUCUAGGUUUCAGUCGACCGAGUCUCGGUCAAAUAGUACAGUAUGCAAGAAGAAAAAAAAAACUGAAAAAAAAAUAUAUUUGCAUAAAUCUCUAUGCAAAAUCAACGGAUUACAAGUCUCGUCGACUGAUUUUUAGCAAAGCCGUUGAUCUUUUGAUAACGUCGAUAUUCAAGGAUUUGUAGCGCUUUUGGGGAGAUCCAAACUUACCACGACUGACCCCCGCGUCGUCCUCCGUGGGCGACUCGGGGGAGCCAAAACCUAGCGUCGCCAGACCCCAUCACCACCUCCCCCCNNNNNNNNNNNNNNNNNNNNNNNNNNNNNNNNNNNNNNNNNNNNNNNNNNNNNNNNNNNNNNNNNNNNNNNNNNNNNNNNNNNNNNNNNNNNNNNNNNNNCCAAUAUAAUAAUGCUCCUACCAACACAUGAGAGGUCUUGUGUGUUGGUCCAGUGCGCCCGGUUCACCAUCUCCAUGAAAAUGAAAAUGAAAAUGAAAAUGGAGAUGGAGUGGAGGAGGAGGAGCUGAUGGCCAGCCAGAGGAACUUGCUGACCUGCACAUGAGCCAUGGGUCAAUGGAUCUACUUACCCUUACCUAUCUAUCACACAUGAAUGAGCCAGCCAGGUGCAUGCAUCAUAUUCCCUCCUUCCUUCGUUCGUAAAUAUAAGCCGCCUUUCUAGAAAUUUCACUGAAGAACUACAUAUGUAAAUAUAUUUUAAAAUAUAUAUUUAUUCAUUUUGCUUCGUGUGUGGUCUCUCAACGAAAUCUCUUAAAAGACAGGGAAGUACUCCCUCCGUUUCAGUUUAUAAAUCCGGCACGUGUAUCUAGAUUAUCAAUUUGAUCAACUAAUGAGAGGCAUAUAUUACAAAAAAUAUAUCAUUAGAAACUUUAGAUGUUCUAUUUUUUAAUGAUAUAAUUUUUAUGUUAAAUAAUAUAUUUUAUAUAAAUCAAAUUGACGACCUAGGCACACGUGCAUGCCUUAUAAACCGUGGCAGAGGGAGUAUUUAGGAUGAGAGGGAGUACACUAGUAACUCUUGGAUCUUGGCUCUUAGGCCCACAUGCAGGAGGCAUGUGGUCCAGUCCACGGUACAUCAUUCAUUCCUUGUCAUUCACCACAUGUGAGAUGGAGAGGCAAGGAAUUCUUUUGAAGCAAAUAAAAUAAAAUAAAAUAAAAUGCUACACUACUCCCUCCAUCUGACAAUAUAAGACCUUGCAAGCAAAAAAAAAAAAAGAAAGAGAACAUAUCAUAAUAUAAGAGUGUGUGAGUAAUGUUUUACUCACCCAACCAAACCAAAUAAUUCAUCCAUCCAUCCAUCCAUAGCUUGCUCUUUCCAAAAACAAAAACAAAAAAAUCCAUCCAUAGAAUAGCUUCUUCACAUAAUUAAUUAACUAUAAUACUAUUUAGCAUCUCCAAAUAACUGAGAUUAGUAGAUUGGUCUGGUCUUGGUGGUCAGUCACAACAAACAGCAGCAGCAUCUCGCUCUCCCUCUCCCUCUCCCUCUCUAUCUCAUCAUUACAAGGAGUAACAAGAAGAAGAAGCUAAAGAAGAAGAAUUUGUACUGAUCAAAUGUGCCAGUAGAAAUCGCUUCCCUNNNNNNNNNNNNNNNNNNNNNNNNNNNNNNNNNNNNNNNNNNNNNNNNNNNNNNNNNNNNNNNNNNNNNNNNNNNNNNNNNNNNNNNNNNNNNNNNNNNNUUUGUAUUGAAGAUCCAAGAGAGAGAAGAAGCCAUCUAGCUACUAACUACAGACCCGUAGGUCUGAAGUGAACUACUCAUGAGUCAUUGGAGGGGCGAUGAUGUUGAUGUAGAAGCCCUCCAACUCCAAAGUCCCCUUCGGCAGGGCACCAGGAAGGGUCUCCAGAUGAGAUCUCGCGGAAACGGAAGCUUGCGGCGGCGGAAAAGUAUUUUCGAGGCUCCCCUGAUUUUUUGCUGAAUAUUUGGGAAUAUAUAGGCCAAGGAUCUAGGUCAGGGGCGCCCAGGGAGGCCACAAGCCCUCACACCGCCGCCUCCCCCUUAUGGCGUAGUGGGAGCUUGUGGGCUCCCUGGAGCCCACCUGGCUUGGCCCAGAGGCCCCCUGGUCUUCUUCCGUUCGGAAAAAAAUUAUUUCGGGGUUUUUAUUCCGUUUGGACUCCGUUCCAAAAUCACAUCUGAAAAGAGUCGAAAACACACAAAAAACAACAACUGGCACUUGGCACUGAAUUAAUAAGUUAGUCCCAAAAAAUAUAUAAAAGGUACAUAAAACAUCAAAAGAAGACAAGAUAACAGCAUGAAACCAUCAAAAACUAUAGAUACGUUUGAGACGUGACUAUCAGUCAUGCAUUCUUGGUCACGAACUUCCGGUCAGGCAUUGUCGGCGAGUGACUACUGGUUAGGCAUGAUACGUCUCAAAUGUAUAUAUAAUUUUUGAUGGUUUCAUGCUGUUAUCUUGUCAUCUUUGGAAGUUUUAUGUACCUUUUAUAUCUUUUUUGGGACUAACUUAUUAAUUCAGUGCCAAGUGCCAGUUCCUGUUUUUUCUGUGUUUUUGGCUCUUUUCAUAUCUGAUUUUGGAACGGUGUCCAAACGGAAUAAAAUCCCCGAAAUAAAUUUUUCCCGGACGGAAGAAGAUCAGGGGGCUUGAGGGCCAAGCCAGGAGGGCUACACGGGGCCCACAAGCCCCCUAUCCGCCACCAGGGGGCGGCGGCCAGCAGGCUUGUGGCCUCCCUGGCGCCCCCCUGACCUAGCUCCUUCGCCUAUAUAUUCUCUGAAAUACAGAAUAAAUCAAGGGAUCCACGAAAAUACUUUUCCGCCGCCGCAAGCUUCCGUUUCCGCGAGAUCUCAUCUGGAGACUCUUCCCGGCGCCCUGCCGGAGGGGACUUUGGAGUUGGAGGGCUUCUUCAUCAUCAUCAUCGCCCCUCCAAUGACUCGUGAGUAGUUCACUUCAGACCUACGGGUCCGUAGUUAGUAGCUAGAUGGCUUCUUCUCUCUCUUGGAUCUUCAAUACAAAGUUUUCCAUGAUCUUCAUGGAGAUCUCUCCGAUGUAAUCCUCUUUGGCGGUGUGUUUGUCGAGAUCCGAUGAAUUAUGGAUUUGCGAUCAGAUUAUCUAUGAUAUAUAUUUGAGUCUUUGCUGAUUUCUUAUANNNNNNNNNNNNNNNNNNNNNNNNNNNNNNNNNNNNNNNNNNNNNNNNNNNNNNNNNNNNNNNNNNNNNNNNNNNNNNNNNNNNNNNNNNNNNNNNNNNNCCCUCCCACCCACGCUGGACCUGGACCUGGAGCUGGAGCUGGAGCUCUAUAGGUAGGUAGGUAGGCAGGUUGGUUGGCAGGGUUCGCAUGGGAUCCGCUUCUGCUCUCCUGUUGGUGUUGCUCGCCUGCUCAUCUUCCACCCCCGCGUGAGCGAGCGUCACCCAUCCAUCCAUCCAUGGUGAUGGCCAGCGCCGGCGUCAACAACAUGCCCGAGGGGCCCAUCGAUUCCGACGAAUGCCGACUGCGCCGACGGAGGCUCGAACCGCGCCGCUACGUCCACGCCGCCAGCGCCUCCUCCUCCUCCNNNNNNNNNNNNNNNNNNNNNNNNNNNNNNNNNNNNNNNNNNNNNNNNNNNNNNNNNNNNNNNNNNNNNNNNNNNNNNNNNNNNNNNGCGCCGGCCCCCGCCCCCGCUCCCGAGGAAGGGGAAGCAGUGCAGCCGUCCUCGUCCGCGUCCUCCGAGGGCUCGGGCACGGGCUCAGAGGAACGACUCCAGCUCCCGCAGGUGCAGGUGCAGGUGCAGGGCGAGGCCUCCGGCGCGGCGCCCCAGCUGCUGCCACCGUCCAAGGCCAACUCCAACUCCAAGGUGCAGGUGCAGUGGCCCGUGGCGUUCGGGUCGGUGGCGCUGGCGGGGCGGCUGAGGGAGAUGGAGGACACGGUGUCCGUUCGUCCGUCCUUGUGCGCCUGGGCCGACGGCUCCCCCAUGCACUUCUUCGCCGUCUUCGACGGCCACGGCGGCCCACACGUAAGCAAAACCAUCCAAUCCAAUCCAAUCCAUCCAUACAACAUACUCUACUCUACUACUGCUAGUGCAUUUCAUUUCAUUUCAUUUGGCUAGCUGUUGAGUGCUUCUAGAGGACCUCCAUGCCAUCCACCUGGCCACUCUCCAGCAGCUUCCAAUCCACCUCCACCUCGACACGUAGCUACCCGGCCUAGCUUUAUUCAGAUUCAAUUUGGUCCCGUUGUUUCUUGCACCAACUCAACUCAUCCGUCUCCAUCCAUCCAUCCACGUAAACGUGUCCUACGCUUAUUAAGUAAUUAAUUAAAUUAUGAUUAUGAUGAUGCAGGCCGCUGCGCUGUGCAGGGAGCAGAUGCACACCAUCCUGGCGGAGGAGCUGGCCGGCGCCGCGGCAGCCUUCAACAACGACGACGACGACGACCGGCAGUCGGAGAUUGUUGCUUGGCGUGGGGCUCUUUGGAGGAGCUUCGCGCGGGCCGACGGUCUGGCGGGGUUGGCGUGCGCGUGCGGGCGUGGGAGCGUGCCGUCCUGCUCCUGCCCGCUCUCUGGGGCGCACAAGGGCGCCAUCGUGGGGUCGACGGCCGUCGUGGCGCUGCUGGUCCGGGACCGCCUCAUCGUCGCCAACUGCGGCGACUCCCGCGCCGUGCUGUCCCGUGCCGGCGUCGCCGUGCCGCUCUCCCACGACCACAAGGUCAGUCCUACCCUUGCUUCCUCUUCCUUCCUUGUCUAGGGUCACUAGCUCGUGCGUGCAAGUGCAAUGCAUGUCGUCUCCUCGUGUGUGUGUGUGUGCGUGUGCGCGUGUGCAAACGUGCAAUGCAUGUCUCGGAGGAGACGCUUGCUUUGCUAGCUAGCUAGGUCAUUACUUAGCUAGCUCGUGUGGAGCGGACUCGAGGGCUGACCUGACCUGCCACAGACCCAGAGCAAAGGUGAGGUGUCGGCUGUCGGGAGGGAAGCUAUCUAGGUCCGUCUUCGUCGCCGGUCGGGGAAAAAGGAGGACGUGGACAUCCAUAUCUUAAAAAAAAAAUCUCUCGCAAAGCAUUUAUUCAACCGUCACAGGUUUACAUGAUCGAAAGAGAGAUUUUCAGGGAGGCCUAACGAAACAUGCCGGCCAGCCCCUAACUUUAAAGCAUGCUUCGCUAGAUUGUGAGCCUCGAUAUUCGACCUCCUAAAUUCAUGAAUGAAAUUACACCUAUUAAAAGAACUAUCAUAUUCUAUUAUUUCAUGUAUAAUGGCUUCAUACGCUACCCAUGUUCUUCUGCUUGAUGUCGUCCACCACUAGUUUGCAAUCAGAUGCAACAUGGAUCUGUUGCAAGUUUAGGUCCUCCACUAGUGCAAGGGCCUCUCGGACCGCCAGAGCCUCCAGAGUCGGUGGGUCAUGGAUUCCUGUAAAGACAAUUAUAGAAGCAUCUAGGAACAAACCAUCGUGUGAUCUGCAAACUGCGGCAACAUAUCCAUAACGCUGGUUCAUACUAACCGCCGCACCAGUUGGAGAAGCUCGACGGCGGCUGCUGCCAACCAGUUGGUCUGUCUGUAGGAGACCGGGCUGUUGACGUGUCCACCGUUUCAAGAUCCGCCAGGAAACUAGUGAUGAAGUGAUGGGUGGAUAAAGGACUAUGGAAGAUAUCUUCAUAUAUGACCUUCCAGACAACAUAGAUACUCCUUCUCAGACAGCUUCUCUUCCAUGGCAAAGAUCCAAUUUCUAGCAUUACAAUCUUGAUUCAAACUGAGUUGAUGAACGAGGUUCUCGUCAGCCAAUGACCAAAUAGAACGGGACAUGGUGCACCUCAGAAGUGCUUGUCUCCAAGAGUCCCGCAUCCCGCAAAGCGUGCACCGAGAAGGAUCAGCCAUGUGCCAGUGAUGAAGCACGUCUGCCGAAGGGAUAGAAUGCUGAGCCAGGCGUCGAGAAAAGACUUUGAGUUUGGACGGGACUUUGACUUUCCACAUAGAUCUCCAUGCCUUGUCCUCUGUUGCAGCGUUGGCGGGGCCACCAUUUUCCUCAAGCCAGUUCUCCCUAUGAAACUUAGUGUUCAUGAUCAUAUGAUAAGCUGAUCGAUAGUAAAUGCCCCUUUUCUUUCUCAACUCCAGGACCAUGAAGUCAUCAACGUUCCUAGUGCAAAGUGGUAUAGCGAGAAUCGCUUCCGCAUCAGUAAAAAGUAGACCGAAUCAGAUCGUACCUCCAUGUUGUUGAAGUUGCAUCAAUAAGCUGUGAGACCAACCUAGGCGGAUUAUCAACCAAUGAUGCAAUAGGUCUCAUUGGUCCCACUCUCGGAAUCCAGUUUGUGUCCCAUAUAUCCGUAGUUGUUCCGUUACCAAUCCUUCGGAUCAAACCUUGCUUCAUAAUAUCCCUUCCAUCCAAAAAUGCACGCCAAAUUUGCGAAGGGUGGCUGCCAAGCUGAGCCUUUAAAAGGGUGCUAUGAGGGAAGUAAACUGCCUUCAAGAUGCGAGCACUUAGAGAGUUGGGUUCUUGAAAAACCCUCCAAGCCGCGCAAGAAGGGCUAAGUUAAAAAUCUCCAUGUCCCAAAAGCCCAAUCAGCCAAGGUUUUUCAGUCGUGUCAUGACAUCCCAAGAUAUCCAUGCCGGCUUCCUUUUUCCUUGUUUACUCCCCCCCCCCCCCCCNNNNNNNNNNNNNNNNNNNNNNNNNNNNNNNNNNNNNNNNNNNNNNNNNNNNNNNNNNNNNNNNNNNNNNNNNNNNNNNNNNNNNNNNNNNNNNNNNNNNNNNNNNNNNNNNNNNNNNUAUAGGCCUCGUGGUAGCCUAAAACAUGACAUGGAGUAAAGUGGGAUUGAUUGGACGACCGAUUUGAUCAGCACUUCCUUCCCCGCGGAAGAUAGUAAUUUUUGCAUCCAUCAUAUGAUUUUCUCCCAAACACGAUCUCUGAGGUAUUUGAACGUUCCCAUCUUCGACUGCCCCACAUCCGUUGCCAUCCCAAGGUAUCUAUCACUUAUGGACUCAUUGUGAACCUGCAACAGAUUUUUGAUGUUAUCUCUCUUCACCUGGGCACAUCCCUUAGUGAAGAAGAUGGAAUACUUUUCAUGAUUAACUCUCUGACCGGACGCAUUGCAAUAUAUAUUCAACAUGUUUGACACCUUGGCCGCCCCCUAAACACUUGACUUGAAGAGCAGCAGGCUAUCAUCAGCAAAAAUGAGGUGGCUCAUAAACCGGCCUCAAACGUUCGAGCUAACCGGCACCUCCAUUUCCAGCCCAAAUAUGGAACGGAUAUGGGGAGCCGGGGCACACCCGCCAUGUCGAACUGACAACUCAUGCGGACUCGCCGGGAAACCCCGACAGUUCGACGGGCGCGGCGCGGUGUGAACAUCGUGUGGCGCCGCUCCGGGGUCAGGGUCGAGGCCGGGUAUUUAAGCUUAGCCGGCCGGCGCCCCCGAUCCCUAAGCACAUCCGCCUCCUCCCUCUCUCCGCCGUCACCCGAGCAGUUCCCUCUUCGAGCCCGUCAGCAUGCCACCACACCGUCGGCAUUACACGAUCCAGCAUCGUUUCGUCCUCCUUCAGCAAGCCCGAAUCCGAAGGGAAGCGGAGCUACCUAUGGAACCGGAGGUGGAUUUCGAGGAGGGGGAGAAGAUGAGAGAGGGGCACACGCGUCGGAGGAGGAGGAGGCGCCCCAGGAGCCGAGCAAGCUCCUCUUAGUAUUAGGUUUAUGUUGCAUGUAAUAGUAUAGAUUUGAGGUUUUAAAUUUAAGGUAUCCGAAUGUAGAAUGCAUUAUUUGAGCCGUAACCGGGAAUUUUCCGCGGACGCGUGCGCGUCCGGAGGCGUUUGAGGUUUCGGAUUUCCAAGGUCCGGUUGUGGAUGCUCUAACACUCCCUCUAUCAAUGUAGAAAACAAUUAUAUAUUAUUAGAUGACGGAGUAAUAAUAAACUAAGAGAAUCUCCAACUCUCAUACAUACGUCUCGUCGGUCAUGAAAUUUUGACCCACCCAGACACCUCAAACGGACCUCAAACGUCCGGACUGACCGGCACCCCUCAUAUCCAGCCUAAAUAUGGGGCGGAUGCUCUAACACUCCCUCUAUCAAUGUCAAAAACGAUUUUAUAUUAUUAGAUGACGGGAGUAAUAAUAAACUAAGAGCAUCUCCAACUCUUAUACAUACGUCCGAUCAGCCAUGAAAUUUUGAUACAGCCGGACGCCUCAAACGGACCUCAAACACCCGGACUGACCGACAUCCCUCAUAUCCAGCCCAAAUAUGCGACGGAUAUGGGGCGCUGGGACACGCCCGCCACAUCAGCCCGACGAUGGGUUCUUGUGUGGACUCGUCGGAAAACCCAGCGGUCCGACGAACUCAUCGUCCGUCAUCGCAGUGUGAUCGCCGCGUGGUGACGCUCCGAUUGCCGCCCAAGGUCAAAUCCGGCUAUUUAAGUCGGUCGGUGUCCCAACCCUAGCACAUCCAUCUCCUUCCUCUUUGCGAUGCCACUUGAGUCCAUUCGCCUCCUCUCCCAUGCUCUUCGGCGUUAAUAUUGUCUGGCAUAAGAUCACGACCUACGCGAAGCUCAUGCAGGAGGGCCGGAUGCAGAUCGAGGCGGAUAUUCAUGUCAGGCACGUCGUAUGCAUCGCCGCAGCGGGAGGAGGAGGAGCAGGGAGGAGAGUAGUUGUCGGAGCCGAUGAAGGAGGCAACUGUGGGGUUUUAUAUGGUGGAGGUGGGUGCGGAGUUCAUCGUCCCGCAAGCCAAGGAGAUGAGAGAGUAGCAGGACAUCCUGGAAUCCAUCUAAGACGGCAGAAGGAGGCGAAGGCAAUCGAGCUCGGCACGAAGAUAGGAGGUUGGAGCGGAUGCUUUGGAGGGGGCAUAGGUGUAGUUGCCGUGCAUGUAUCCGUCGAAGGACACAGAGAUAGUCGACAUAGUACUCUCUGUGUUUGAAAAUAAGUGACUCUACUUUGUAUUAAAGUUAGUAUAAAAGUGAGUAAAUUUUAAGACGAUGGGAGUAAUUUUGUUUUGCAUGUAUUUAUGAAUAUAAGAGAAAUGUAGUAUGAGGUGUUUGGAUGCACUGAUCCUAAUGUAAGGAUGCCGUGUUUGGUGACGUUGACGUUUAAGGGGUAUGGUGGCUGGCUGUAGAUGUUGUGACAACCUCCACGCUAGUCCGUAUUAUUAUUAUUAUUAUUAUUAUUAUUAUUAUUAUUAUUAUUAUUAUUCUUAUUAUUAUUCUUAUUGUUGUUGUUGUUGUUGUUGUUGUUGUACAUACUUUAGUGAUGUCGGAAAAAGGAGAAAAAAGCAGGGAAUAUUGAUGCAGGCGAUGCGAUUUGGGCAUGCAUGCAAUGGCAUUAGUGUGAUUAUUAUCUCACAACUUUCCUGUGGAUUCGUCGACGCUUUGGACAUUAUUAGAUUCCACGUGGACGCGUGGUGAGGUUCAAAAGGCCGUGCCGUCGAUAUUAGACCACGUGGAAGGAAGGAAUUGGAACAUGGGAUGGGAUGUCAAGAAAGAAAAGAAUAUGGGAUGUGGGGCCAGCUGGUCAGAUACUAGUUAGUAGUAUGGGUUAGUCCGUGUAUGGUUCAUCAUACAUACAUACAUACAUACAUACCCUUUGACGUACAUCACCAUCUGCAUGCAUUUCUUUCCUAUAUAUGGAGUGAUCGCUGAAUGAUGCAGCCGGACCGGCCGGACGAGAUGGCACGGAUCAAGGCGGCCGGCGGCAAGGUCAUCUUCAUCAACGGCGCACGCGUCCGAGGCAUCCUCGCCAUGUCCAGAGCACUAGGUACCUACCUACGUAUCCUCCUUCACUCCUUCCCUUCCUUGUCCUAUAGUAGGAGUACUUACUUGACCUAGCAUGCACUAGCAGCUUCCUCGAAAAGCAAAGGAAAAAAGCUGGUAAUCUUAUCAUGUGAUUGGUUCCAUAAAGCGCAUGUGUCGUUUCGUCGCUUCACACACGUGGUCUGGUCGUGUUCCCCUGCAUUAACGUUUGGUGAUUAUAUAAAAAAGGGAGAAUGUUCGUCACGAUGUGCUAUUUGCCUUCUUGUGGACAAAAAUGCGUAACCAAACGUUGCUUUGCAUCUUACUACUACCAAUUAACAACCGCCGGGUGUCCACUUACUAAGAGUGGUCAUGUUAAUCUUUCCGAUGAAAACAAAAUAUAUGGCACCUAUUUAAGUUUCUUGAGGCAGCUCCGCAAUGUUUCAUCUUUGGGUGUGUCUAGGUUUCAGUCGACCGAGUCUCGGUCAAAUAGUACAGUAUGCAAGAAGAAAAAAAAAACUGAAAAAAAAAUAUAUUUGCAUAAAUCUCUAUGCAAAAUCAACGGAUUACAAGUCUCGUCGACUGAUUUUUAGCAAAGCCGUUGAUCUUUUGAUAACGUCGAUAUUCAAGGAUUUGUAGCGCUUUUGGGGAGAUCCAAACUUACCACGACUGACCCCCGCGUCGUCCUCCGUGGGCGACUCGGGGGAGCCAAAACCUAGCGUCGCCAGACCCCAUCACCACCUCCCCCCUCCCUCCCCGUCGUCGCC
rnacentral:lncRNA from 1 species